rnacentral:rRNA from 1 species
UAUGUGAUCGUCUCUCGCAUAUCAAUAAGCGGAGGAAAAGAAACUAACAAGGAUUCCCCUAGUAACGGCGAGUGAAGCGGGAAGAGCUCAAAUUUGAAAUCUUAAAGGGUUUCCCUUUACGAAUUGUAGUUUAAAGAAGUGUUUUCUGUUGAGGUUUUGGUAAAAGUUCUUUGGAAUAGGACAUCAUAGAGGGUGAGAAUCCCGUAUUUGACCUUUACUUUCAACUUUGUGAUACACUUUCAAAGAGUCGGAUUGUUUGGGAAUGCAGUCCAAAAUGGGUGGUAAAUUUCAUCUAAAGCUAAAUAUUGGCGAGAGACCGAUAGCGAACAAGUACCGUGAGGGAAAGAUGAAAAGAACUUUGAAAAGAGAGUUAAACAGUACGUGAAAUUGUCAAAGGGAAGCGUUUGACACCAGUGUUGUUUUUCUGAAAAUCAAUUAAAGAACUGUUUAUGCUAAGCUUGUUUAGACUGUAUCAGCUAACUGUUUAGUUUUGAGCUUUUCUUUAAUGCACUUUUCAGUUAACAAGUCAACAUCAAUUUCUUUUGCUGUAAAAAAGCUUGAGGAAGGUGGCUUGAGAUUCGUCUUAAGUGUUUAUAGCCUCUUGCCUAUGCAGUCGGAGAGAUUGAGGUCUGCAGCGUAGAUCCUUCGGGGCUAAAUGCAUUUGUGCUAAGUUAUAACAUUUUAUAGACAACUUGUUGACUAUGAUUUGUCUUGUAGCUUACUCGCUUAUGUUAUUUUACCUACGCUUAGGAUGUUGACACACGCGCGUGCUCG